AGAAUAUAUACAGACGUAGGAACUUCAUUUGUCAGGUCGGCUGUUAGCAGUCACCAAGUUGUUGGGUUUAUUGUGAGUUGUUGCACAUCGGUGGGCUGGUGAAGUUAUAUAAUUUAAUCAAAAAUGUCUUCUCGAGAUCCAGCUUCUGAUCAACUUGUACACUACAAGAAGAAACAAACUGAGAAAACAAAGAUUGUUACUGGACAUGGAGCACCAGUCGAUAAUCGUGGGGCCAGUUUGACUGUGGGGCCUCGGGGACCCUUGUUGCUGCAGGAUAUUACUUUCCUGGAUGAACUCGCACACUUUGAUAGAGAGCGUAUCCCAGAAAGAGUGGUCCAUGCCAAGGGCGCAGGUGCAUUUGGCUAUUUUGAAGUGACACAUGAUAUCACAAAAUACUGUAAGGCAAGUGUUUUCUCAAACGUUGGCAAGAAGACGCCUAUUGCUGUACGAUUCUCCACUGUAGGCGGUGAAAGUGGGUCGGCUGACACCGUCAGAGAUCCUCGAGGCUUUGCUCUGAAGUUUUAUACAGAAGAUGGUAUCUGGGAUCUGGUGGGUAACAAUACACCGAUCUUCUUCAUCAGGGACCCAUUGCUGUUCCCUGUAUUUAUCCACACACAGAAGAGAAACCCAGCCACACAUUUGAAGGAUUGUGACAUGUUCUGGGACUUCAUCUCCCUGCGACCAGAGUCCACACAUCAAGUGAUGUUCCUCUUCUCUGACAGAGGCAUUCCAGAUGGAUAUCGUCAUAUGAAUGGUUAUGGUUCACAUACGUUUAAGAUGGUGAAUGAUAAAAAUGAGGCCGUGUAUGUGAAAUUCCAUUACAAGACAGAUCAGGGCAUCAAGUGCCUACUGGCACAGAAAGCUACGGAAUUGUCCGCGUCAGACCCUGAUUACUCUAUUCGUGACUUGUACAAUGCUAUUGCACGAGGCCAAUACCCAUCGUGGACUAUGUACAUCCAAGUGAUGACUUUUAAGGAGGCAGAGAAAUUGAAAUGGAACCCAUUUGACCUCACCAAGGUUUGGCCACAUACAGAGUAUCCCUUAAUUCGUGUUGGCAAACUCGUGCUUGAUCGCAAUCCUACCAAUUACUUUGCUGAGGUGGAACAGAUUGCUUUCAGCCCCGCACACAUGGUGCCUGGCAUAGAACCAAGUCCUGACAAGAUGCUGCAGGGUCGGCUCUUCAGCUACUCGGACACGCAUCGCCAUCGACUAGGAGCCAAUUACCUGCAGAUUCCAGUAAACUGUCCGUAUAGAACACGUAUAACCAACUACCAACGUGACGGACCACAGACUUUCACCAGCAACCAAGAGGGAGCACCUAACUACUACCCAAACAGCUUUAGUGGGCCUGAAGAUGUUCCAAACUGUGCUAUUACCAAGUACGCUCCUUCAGGAGAUAUUGCCAGGUAUAACACUGGAGAUGAAGAUAACUUCAGCCAGCCUACACUUUUCUGGAGGAACACCUUGACACCAGAGGAACGAGGGCGUCUGGUGCAGAACAUUGUGGAUCACGUGAAGGAUGCUACUGACUUCAUACAGGAACGCACUGUGAAGAAUUUCAGCCAGGUGGAUGCUGAAUUUGGUCGCAAAUUGACCGAGGGUCUGCGUAAACAUGCCAAGAACAAAAGCAUUGCCUAUGCAAAUCUUUGAGCUGCGAUUCAUAAACAAAUUUACUUAAGGUGUUAGUGGGACAAAUUCUUGGGUAGAGGAUUUGCGUACUUUGUUUCAUUGGUGUUUAGGAGAUUGUAUCUAUAUUUGGUACUUUUAUACAUUUGAUGUGGCCGGGCUUGUUGUUUAUAAUAUCUAUCACUAAUGUACGUUGUUUUGCUCUGUGAAGCAGGGUAAUGCCUUUGUAUUUUGGAAACAUGACAUGCUGGGAAAAUAUAGUUACUGUCAGAAAGUUGGGAGCCUCUGGGAGAAGUAACGAGCGACAGGUACAGUGAAGAAUUCAGACGUGUACUCUUCGAAGGAAAAGGAGUCGAUAAUACCUCAGAAACAACGCCUCUGGUCAGUCGUGGCAGAUUUGCUGGCUUGUCCACAUGAUUGGAUUCUCAAAUUUAGUUAGUCUUUAUUUAUGAAAUUAAACAAUAAUUUUAUGUCUUAAAAUUAUCUUAAAAUGCAGAUACGCUCAGAUGUAUUGUCAUCUUUAAAACUCAAUUAUUACUGUCUCAGUUAAAGCAGUGUUAAUUUGACGUUUAUGAUACGGACCACAUUUAUUUUAAGAGUCCGAGUCAAGAAAUGCAAUAGACAUUUUCUUUAAGAAUGUA